UGUUGCAUUCGGAUAUUAAGUUUAAGUAAAUUAAAAAACGUACAUGAUUGAAAAAUUGUUUGAAAUUGAAUUUUAUGAGGGCUGUGACGAGGUGUAAAAUAGUGAAAAAUUAAAAACAGUGACCCACGUGAUAUGGUGUUAAUUAAUUUCACCACAAUGUAUUCAAAGUCAUAUUCAGGUCUUUUACCUUUCCGAUGCCAUAGCUCUUUCGUGUUGGUUAAAUUAAUGCUUUAUUUAACGCUGUUAUAUUCAAUAAACGGAUUUAAUCUGGACACUGAUAGUAGAAUAGAACUUAAUGGACUAAAUGCCGGAAGUUACUUUGGCUACACAGUCGCCAUGCUGAACAUAAAUGACCAAAAUAGAUGGAUUUUGCUUGGUGCUCCUAAGGACAACAGCCACUUUCUUCCUGAUGCAGAUAGACCCGGGGCUAUAUAUAAAUGUACUUUUACCUCAGACUUCAGUAGUCGCAGCUGCGGGGAAAUGUUUAUUGAUG